GGAUUGUGGCUCAGCGGUAGAGCACAUGCCUAGCACAUACGAGGCCCUGGGUUCGAUCCUCAACACCA
rnacentral:tRNA from 1 species